GGGCACAUGGUGUAGAUGGUUUAUCACGCUCGCUUAGCAUUGUGAUUUGCGAGAGGUGUCCGGUUCAAUUCCGGAUGUGUCCA